GCUGGGUGCAGUGGUGCAAGCCUGUAAUCCCAGCGGUGGAGGAGGCUGAGGCAGGAGGAUUGCUAGUUCAAAGCCAGCCCCAGCAAUUUAGUGAGGCAUUAAGCAACUCAGUGAGACCCUGUCUCUA
rnacentral:sRNA from 1 species